GCAUUAUCCGAAUGGGAUUUUCUAUCCGAAAUUUUGCUUACCAUUAGCACAAUUUCAAACCGGAUGGGUUUUCCAUGUAAAUGGUAAACAACCCUUAACACCCAUGUCCCACUAUGGGGGCAACAACGUAUGUUUGACAGACAUUCAUUUAAAACCAUGAAUUUAAAACCAUGGUCAGCUAUAACACUAUAUGUACUCCGUUGGUUUGCAGGACAUUUUUGUCUGCUGAAAUUCCUGCCCUGAUUGUAGAAAUCAAACACACUCGUUACAAUUAUCUAUUCCUUUCUUUACUUACAAAUACAAACUGAAUGUUUCUUCCUUCGCGCCCU